ACGGGUGAGUAACGCGUGGGAAUCUACCCAUCUCUACGGAACAACUCCGGGAAACUGGAGCUAAUACCGUAUACGUCCUUCGGGAGAAAGAUUUAUCGGAGAUGGAUGAGCCCGCGUUGGAUUAGCUAGUUGGUGGGGUAAUGGCCUACCAAGGCGACGAUCCAUAGCUGGUCUGAGAGGAUGAUCAGCCACACUGGGACUGAGACACGGCCCAGACUCCUACGGGAGGCAGCAGUGGGGAAUAUUGGACAAUGGGCGCAAGCCUGAUCCAGCCAUGCCGCGUGAGUGAUGAAGGCCCUAGGGUUGUAAAGCUCUUUCAACGGUGAAGAUAAUGACGGUAACCGUAGAAGAAGCCCCGGCUAACUUCGUGCCAGCAGCCGCGGUAAUACGAAGGGGGCUAGCGUUGUUCGGAAUUACUGGGCGUAAAGCGCACGUAGGCGGAUACUUAAGUCAGGGGUGAAAUCCCGGGGCUCAACCCCGGAACUGCCUUUGAUACUGGGUAUCUCGAGUCCGGAAGAGGUGAGUGGAA
rnacentral:rRNA from 1 species